AUUGAACGCUGGCGUAAUGCUUUACACAUGCAAGUCGAACGGCAGCACGGGAGCUUGCUCCUGGUGGCGAGUGGCGAACGGGUGAGUAAUGCGUCGGAACGUACCGAGUAAUGGGGGAUAACGCAGCGAAAGCUGUGCUAAUACCGCAUACGCCCUGAGGGGGAAAGUGGGGGAUCGCAAGACCUCACGUUAUUUGAGCGGCCGACGUCUGAUUAGCUAGUUGGUGGGGUAAUGGCCUACCAAGGCGACGAUCAGUAGCGGGUCUGAGAGGAUGAUCCGCCACACUGGAACUGAGACACGGUCCAGACUCCUACGGGAGGCAGCAGUGGGGAAUUUUGGACAAUGGGGGCAACCCUGAUCCAGCCAUUCCGCGUGAGUGAAGAAGGCCUUCGGGUUGUAAAGCUCUUUCAGCUGGAACGAAACGGUACGCUCUAACAUAGCGUGCUAAUGACGGUACCGGCAGAAGAAGCACCGGCUAACUACGUGCCAGCAGCCGCGGUAAUACGUAGGGUGCGAGCGUUAAUCGGAAUUACUGGGCGUAAAGCGUGCGCAGGCGGAUUGUUAAGCAAGAUGUGAAAUCCCCGGGCUUAACCUGGGAAUGGCAUUUUGAACUGGCAGUCUAGAGUGCGUCAGAGGGGGGUGGAAUUCCACGUGUAGCAGUGAAAUGCGUAGAGAUGUGGAGGAACACCAAUGGCGAAGGCAGCCCCCUGGGAUGACACUGACGCUCAUGUACGAAAGCGUGGGUAGCAAACAGGAUUAGAUACCCUGGUAGUCCACGCCCUAAACGAUGUCAACUGGUUGUUGGG
rnacentral:rRNA from 1 species